GAAGGAAGGAGACAUGGCAUGAAGUUCUUCAUUGCUCUGUGUGAGAUAUAUGAAUAAGACGUCGUCCACCUGAGAGCUGUGUUCCUAAAGAGAGGUCAAAGGGUUGUUGUGUGUGAUCAGUGGUGAAUGGACAGCUACCAGCAGCACUCAUGUGUGUCACGACGCACGCAGGAGUAAGGACAGCUCAAGGUCAGGUCAUCUCAAGGCCGGAGGCCCAAGGGAGGAAUUUCAAUCCACCGUCUUCUUAAAAAUACACCAUGCAACUAAUAUGAAAUGAUGCACUUGUAUACUUGAUGAUUAUGUGGAAGAAAGCAGUGGAGGCUGAUGCAAGCGCAGCGCCGAGGUUAUGUUUUUGCCAGCAUUUGUCCGUUUGUCUGCCUGUUUGUUUGUUUGUUUUCAAAAUAACUUGAAAAGUCCUGAAUUGAUUUGGAUGAAAUUUUCAGGAAUUGUCAGAAAUGGGAUAUGGAAUAACUGAUUAAAUUUUGGGGGUGAGCCGAAUCACCGUCUAUAUCCAGGAAUGUUUUUAAAUGAUUCUUUAACAUUGCGACAUAGGGCCACUUUCGGCAUUUGUGCAUGGAAAUGGUCAGAGCCCUUGGAAAAAAAUACAGGACAAGUUACCAACAGGUUCUACAAAAUAAGACUGAUCCAAAAAAUGUAGUAUUAUUUUGGUGUGAAUCACAAUAUGCGGGGAACUAUGGCGCUUGGCGGAGAUCUGCGCUCUCUGAGUGCUCUUCUAGUUCCGUUCUGUUUUCUGCUGCUUUUACGUUCCUCCUUAUGCACACCUGGCGCUAAUUUGUGUUCUGAUUAUUUAGUUCAGCCGGUGGCAUCUUCCGUUGUUGGAGCAUUACGUUUGUUUCGUGCCUACUAUGCAUGUUCCUUGCUUGUGAAUGCAUGUGUAUGUCACGUGCCUUCUGCAAGUUUCCCUUUUCUGCUCUGCUUUUGAGUAUUAUUAAAGACUUUUACCAGCACUGGGUUCCCAUCUCUGCAUCUUGGGGUUACAACCAACACUAGAACGUGACGCAUAACA